rnacentral:hammerhead_ribozyme from 1 species
AUCCAGCUGACGAGUCCCAAAUAGGACGAAA